ACAAGAUUUUAAACAAAGAAGGGUUUUAAUGUGAGACGAUACUAAAUUGUUCAAUAAAAACUAAUAUAAAAUUAAAAACAUUCAACUAUUAAUUUAAUUAUUAACAAAAAGGCAACUUGAGAAUAAGGAAUAAUCGAAUAUAUAGUCUAAACAACAGUUUCAUUUUUUUUAAUUGUAAAACGUUACCAUUUACAAGAACUUAGAAAAAUAUGUGAAACAUAUUAAUUAAAUGCAGCAAAGAAAUUUUGUACCUGAGUAAUGAUACAGAAUAGGGAAUCCCUUUGUUGAUCCUGAACUUGACAUAUGUUGUUAGGAUUUGAGUUUCUUUCAGGAGAUUUUAGCUGUUUCUUGUUAUUCGUUAAAAGUUACUAUUAAAUAAAAUUAAUAAUAUAAAUGUGCGUUUAGCUUUAAAACUUUAACUUUAUUUAACGCGUAUGUUUUAUUGUAUCUAUCUUUAAGUAACUACACCUAAUUAUUCCGAUCAAUACUUACUAACAACCAUAAACAUUCUACAAUGUGUAUUAUAAUUAUUCCUACAUUAUCUCUUUAUUGCUGCGUGCCCGACUUAUGGAGCGGUUAUUAUUGAUUCGCGCAAGGCGAUCGAGGAGUGCGACAAGAGAAGAUCGUUUCCUCCAAACGGGUUUAGUUUUGACGUGACGCGGAACUAUGUAUGGACGUUUGUUUUAACUCUGCGAUCUUUCUCAUUGUAAAGAGAGUUAUUAAUAAAGUUCGAAGUUGCCUUUGCAAAAGAGUGUCAAGUCAUUCUGGGUCGAGCGUCUGAUUCUCUUCUUCCGUGUGCCGCGUGUGUUUGUCUCGCCGAGUGUAACAAUAUAGUACAUAAAUGUAUAUGUGCAUAUGUAUAAGUAUGUAUGCAUGUAUUUAUGUAUGUGUAUGUACAAAUUUUUUUUAUCUUUCUAACCAUCUUUUACCAUAGUCUAUUAUCUAUCCCUAUUUGCAUUUGUACGUUGACAUUUCUAACUUAAUAAAUGGUCUCAGUAAAUGCAUUCAAUUUACAACUGCAUAAUACUUAUCGAGAGCUGCUAGUAUAAAAUUUAAUGUUGCUAAAGUAAGUUUUCAUUCUAUUUGAAAAAUUCACGAUGUGCACGGUUGUGUGAGUGUUUCGCUUCCAGUAAAACAUUACUAUAUUUUUCCCAAAAUAUUCCGUAUCGCAAGAUUUUUCAAUAUAAUCAACAAUCGUAUUUGUAAAACGCGUUGAUACGAGGUGACAAUGGAGGAAAAAAACAACGUGCAAGUGACCAACACGCCAUCGAUAGAAUACAUCUUACGUCCAAUAACGUAUACUUCGUGGCUCAUGGGAGUUGGUGUUGCACGACCAAGAAAUUCUUCUAAAGCUAUAACCAUAAUAAAACGCAUUGUUUAUCUGUCCGUGUAUACCGUUCAUCUGGUAUAUACCGCGAUAGAGUUCAUUACUGACAUCUACGCUAUUGGAAGCGGUAUAUUCGAUUUCGUAUGUGUGAUGUACAUCGUGACGUUCCACUUAUCGGCGUAUUACAAUGUUUAUCAUGGGAUCGGGCAGUACGAGAAGUGGCCAGAACUGAUGGACAGAAUGAAGGAGCUCGAUCGGAAGAUCAAGAGGGAAACAUCUCUCAAUGACCGACCAGUAAAAAACAUGGAAGCCCUAGCGAUUCUAAUGACUUUUGCUUGGUGUACGUUAGCUCCGAUCGCAGAAGUUCUUUAUUAUUACUUUAAAAAUCUAAAGAAUAUGUACGUGGCUGAAAUUCUGAAUUAUUACGUGGAAGCCCAGUUGUUAAUGAACAGCUUGGUCUUCGACGUUGUCGUAUAUGUGAUUUAUUAUAGAUUCAAAACAAUAAAUAAAUUGAUCGGGCAGUUGAACGAUUCAGUAUCCCAUCCGUCAUGGAUCACGCUAAAGAUUACACGAAUCAGAGAAUUACAUACGGGUAAGUGCAAAUAUUAUAUUUUGUACAACAAUUCAAUAGAAUAAAUCUAUAUUGUCGCAGAAGUAAUUUAAGAAGGUCUAUGAAGCAGUUGCAAUAACAUCGAAAUGUUAAUUCUACUACGUAGGUAUUUGUCAAGUGGUCAGCAUGGUAAACGAUAUUUAUGGUCUUUGUCUCCUCUUCUAUUCAACGAAUUGCUUUGUCAUGACUGCAUCUACAUUAUUCAAAAUCUACACAGAUGUUUUGGAGAAAAACUACAAGGACAUAUUGAUGAAUAAUAUCUUUUGGAUAAUGCAAAUUGCACAAUUUGGUCUGAUGUGCUGGAUUUGCACGCUCGCGCGUCAAGAAUCCGACAAAAUCGGAAUAUCUAUGUAUGAAAUUGUACAUAAUCGCAAAUUGGUGAAUUUUGGUAAGAUAAACAAGACGAGAAAUCAAUCAAGUUUAGAGAUGUAUCCGCCAUUUGAAGACUUGGGCAAUGAGCAAAAUUCUAGCAGUGGUCACAAUCUGAAUUACGUUGUUUUAGAAAAUCUCUCGCGCAAAAAUAUAGAUCUUGACUGUGUCAAAAAAGAGAUCAAUGAAUUUUCGAUUCAACUGCAACUGUAUCGAGUGGCAUUUACGGCUUGUGAUUUCUUUGAAAUAAACAAUGCUCUCUUCAGCGGUUUUGUCGGAACGAUCAUCACUUAUUUAAUAAUCUUCAUUCAAUUCUAUCAACGACCCAAAAAUUUAGACUAGAACGUAGCAAAACAUUUAGUAAAAAAUAAUUAACUAUUAAUUAACUAAUAAGAGUAAAAGUAUACUACCAAAGAAUAAAAAAAAUAAUGUUGUACAUAAAAUUUUAUGUAAGGAUUGUGAUGCAUCCUAUGUUAGACAAACUCGCCGUUCACUUAAAACUAGAAUUUCUGAAUAUAAAAACGACAUUAGAAAAAACAAGUAAUCGGCUGUUUCCGAGCAUAGGACGACACAACCGUGACUCCAACUGGGGUAAUGCUGAGAUUAAUUUUAUGCAAUGAAAUAAUACAACAUAUACAUAACCAUUUAUAAGUAAAAUAUUUUACUUUCUCAAUCUUCUUAGCUGACUUACACUAUUAACCAUUAAAGAAGGAAGUCUAAAGAUGGUCAAAAUUGGACUAAGAUGGGUACUUUUAAAAUACAUACAGUUUCUACGUUGAAAGACCAUACAUUCAUGAAGAAAAACUAAUUUAUCUAGAAAAUUUAUUAUAUAUAAUACGAGCCAAUUAAGAAAAUUGAGAACUUAUAACUGUACUUAAUAUACAUAUAAUUAAAUUAUAUUACAAGCGGCAAAUAAUUAAAGAACAGCUGAUCGGAAUUUGAAUCCACGAUCCUUCUUUCUCACACUAACAUUAAUGUAACUAUUACUUCAUGAAAUUAAACUACUUUCGUAAUUUGA